rnacentral:tRNA from 1 species
GGGGAUGUAGCUCAGCUGGGAGAGCGGCGCGUUCGCAACGCGCAGGUCGGGGGUUCGAAUCCCCUCAUCUCCACCA